UCUGACCUCAAAUCAGGUAGGAUUACCCGCUGAACUUAAGCAUAUCAAUAAGCGGAGGAAAAGAAACUAACAAGGAUUCCCUUAGUAACUGCGAGUGAAGUGGGAAAAGCUCAAAUUUGAAAUCUGGCAGUCUGUUUUUUUCUUCCUGGCUGUCCGA
rnacentral:rRNA from 1 species